AUCAAUUCGCUAACCUUACACAAUCUAAGUCAAUACAAGAUUAUGUCUCUUAGUUUAAAUUCCUUUCUCUCUAAAUUGGCAAUAUUUUAGAAGUAGAGAUGAUGGAUUGGCUUAUAUGAGGGUUGAAAUUUAUCAUCUAAUAAGAAAUAAAAUUAAAGGAUCUAUAAAUAUUUGAGGAGGUAGUUAGGAUUGCAAAAAGUAUUGAUAUUAUAGAUUUUAGAAAUUAUUGAGUAUGACCUAUAAUACAAAAUCUU
rnacentral:lncRNA from 1 species